rnacentral:rRNA from 1 species
UGGGGAAUAUUGGACAAUGGGGGAAACCCUGAUCCAGCGACGCCGCGUGUGUGAAGAAGGCCUUCGGGUUGUAAAGCACUUUCGGCAGGGACAAACAAGGCGGAGCUAACAUCUCCGUCCCUGAUGGUACCUGAAGAAGAAGCACCGGCUAACUCUGUGCCAGCAGCCGCGGUAAUACAGAGGGUGCAAGCGUUAAUCGGAUUUACUGGGCGUAAAGCGAGUGUAGGUGGUUUGCUAAGUCAGGUGUGAAAUCCCCAGGCUCAACCUGGGAACUGCAUUUGAUACUGGCAGGCUAGAGUGUGGUAGAGGAUGGUGGAAUUCCCGGUGUAGCGGUGAAAUGCGUAGAUAUCGGGAGGAACAUCAGUGGCGAAGGCGGCCAUCUGGACUAACACUGACACUGAGACUCGAAAGCGUGGGGAGCAAACAG